rnacentral:rRNA from 1 species
GAUGAACGCUGGCGGCGUGCCUAAUACAUGCAAGUCGAGCGAACGGACGAGAAGCUUGCUUUUCUGAUGUUAGCGGCGGACGGGUGAGUAACACGUGGAUAACCUACCUAUAAGACUGGGAUAACUUCGGGAAACCGGAGCUAAUACCGGAUAAUAUUUUGAACCGCAUGGUUCAAAAGUGAAAGACGGUCUUGCUGUCACUUAUAGAUGGAUCCGCGCUGCAUUAGCUAGUUGGUAAGGUAAAGGCUUACCAAGGCAACGAUGCAUAGCCGACCUGAGAGGGUGAUCGGCCACACGGGAACUGAGACGCGGUCCAGACGCCUAAGGGAGGCAGCAGUAGGGAAUCUGCCGCAAUGGGCGAAAGCCUGACGGAGCAACGCCGCGUGAGUGAUGAAGGUCUUCGGAUCGUAAAACUCUGUUAUUAGGGAAGAACAUAUGUGUAAGUAACUGUGCACAUCUUGACGGUACCUAAUCAGAAAGCCACGGCUAACUACGUG